GGGCCCGUAGCUCAGCUGGAUAGAGCGCUUCCCUCCGGAGGAAGAGGUCUGGGGUUCGAAUCCCUACGGGCCCGCCA
rnacentral:tRNA from 1 species